rnacentral:rRNA from 1 species
AAAGACUUAGUCCUAACCUUACCGUUAAUUCAUGCCGAACAUAUACAUGCAAGUAUCCGCGCCCCAGUGAAAAUGCCCUCUAUCUCAUUACACAAAGAUAAAGGAGCGGGCAUCAGGCACACCCACUGUCGUAGCCGAAGACGCCUUGCUCAGCCACACCCCCACGGGUACUCAGCAGUAAUUAACAUUAAGCAAUGAGUGUAAACUUGACUUAGUUACAGCAACUAUUAGGGUUGGUAAAUCUUGUGCCAGCCACCGCGGUUACACAAGAAACCCAAAUUAACCGUACACGGCGUAAAGAGUGGCCCCUUAAUUAUCCGAGCAACUAAGAUUAAAACACACCUGAGCCGUCAUAAGCUUAAGAUGUCCAUAAACCCCCCUCAAAGCGAUCUUAGUAACAACGACUAACACUACCCCACGAAAGCUAGGAUACAAACUGAGAUUAGAUACCCCACUAUGCCUAGCCCUAAAUUCUGAUACUUACUCCACAAAAGUAUCCGCCCGAGAACUACGAGCGCAAACGCUUAAAACUCUAAGGACUUGG